rnacentral:lncRNA from 1 species
GACAAUGACAUUGAUGUAAAAGAAAAGAAUGGAGCCAUUAAAGAUUUUGAACCUAGACCUAAUAUUUCAGCUUAUGGAGAAAAUGUCAUUGAUGCUGAUGAAAAGAAGAAACCAGUCAAAGAUUUUGAACCAAGACCCAAUAUUUCAGCUUAUGGAGACAAUGACAUUGAUGUUAAGGAAAAUAAGGGAGCCACCAACGAUUUUGAGCCAAGACCCAACAUUUCAGCUUAUGGAGACAAUGUCAUUGAUGAUAAUAAAAUGAAGAAACCAGUUGAAUAUUUCCAACCAAGACCAAACAUUUCAGCUUAUGGAGAAAAUGACAUUGAUGUUAAAAAAAGUAAAGAUUUUGAACCAAGACCCAACAUUUCAGCUUUUGGAGACAAUGACAUUGAUGUUAAUGAAAAGAAGGGAGAUACUAAAGAUUUCGAACCAAGACCAAAUAUUUCAGCUUAUGGAGACAAUGCCAUUGAUGAUGAUGAAAUGAAGAAACCAAUUAAAGAUUUUAAACCAAAACCAAACAUUUCGGCUUAUGGAGACAAUGUCAUUGAUGCUGAUGAAAUGAAGAAACCAGUCGAAGGUUUUGAACCAAGACCAAACAUUUCAACUUAUGGAGACAAUGUCAUUGAUGUUGAUGAAAUGAAGAAACAACAAGUCAAAGAUUUUGAACCAAGAACCAACAUUUCAGCUUAUGGAGACAAUGACAUUGAUGUUAAAGAAAAGAAGGGAGUCACCAACGAUUUUGAGCCAAGACCCAACAUUUCAGCUUAUGGAGACAAUGUCAUUGAUGCUAAUAAAAUGAAGAAACCAGUUGACGAUUUCCAACCAAGACCAACUAUUUCAGCUUAUGGAGACAAUGCCAUUGAUAAUAGUAAAACGAAUGAAGUCAUCAAAGAUUUUGAAUCAAGACCCAACAUUUCAGCUUACGGUAACAAUGAAGUUGACACUAAGAAAAAAGAAAAAGCUGCCAAAGAUUUUGAACAAAGACCCAUUAUUUCAGCUUAGGAAGACAACAUCAUUGAUGCUGAGAAAGAUGACGAGUUCACAAAGGAUUUUGAACGCAUGCCAAGAGUCACUAAAUAUGAUGCAUAACUUUAAUAAUUAAAAUAAAAUGCUAUUUCAAUUUCUGAUGUAAUACACUUAAUAAGUCAUUGCUACUUUAUGUUCAAUGAUAUUUAGUAUAUGUAUUAUGCAUUAAGCUUUUUGAAUGAAGGAACUUCUCCUUGUUUACUGAUGACAGUCAGUCAUUCACUAUUUUUAGAGUCUUUUUAUGAUAUUUUUGAGUUCACAAGCAAUCUUAAGCAACAAGAAAAGAAAGAAAAGUAAGAAAAAACUGAAGAAACUGAAAAGUGGGCAUCGUGUCACGAUUACUAAAAAGCGUGUCACGAUUUGGAACAUAGGAUGAGUUCAUUCAAGAUUGGUUAAAACGUGUCACGAUGGCUAUUUCGUGACACGAUUUUAAGAACAUGUGGCAAGAGAAAAUAUGAUCAAAAAGAGCAAAACAGGAGGUGUCAAGAAGUAAUGGAAUUAAGAAUUCCUAUUAAUUAAUGGGCUAUGUUGAUCCAAGAGGAGAAAAACGUGAUUAAUUGGAAAGGCAGCUGGGUUAGAUGAACCUAUAUAAAGAAGCAACAAGAGAGCUGCAAAUUAUCUUUCAAAAAAAAAAGAGAGAGCUGCAAAUUAUUCAAGAUGGUGACAUCACGGUUACGGCAAGAAUCACGUUUGGCACUUGUUGGAGAAGAAAAACGGGAACAAGCAUAUCACUAAGGAAGCAACAACGGCAAUUGAAAGAAAAUUGAGGAGCACUGUCGACAACGACUAAACUUUAUUGGUUUAAUUUCUUCUUUAUGUUGUUUGCUUAUUUGAUUAUGUCUAGCUAAACAUGGUUAGUCUAGGAAUGUAUAAUCCUUUACUAGUGAUAUUAGGUUAACGUGCUUAAAACCUUCAAAGAAUAUUAGCUCACCUAAGGAAUUAGGGACUGUAAUAUGAGAAGAGGGUCCUAACUCAAGGGAUGAAUUAUGACUAUUUUGUUAACUAUCGUGGAACUAGAAAAUCAUUCAUAAGAAUAGGUGCAGUAUACCCAUUUGGGGAACAUUGAUGACUCGAAAGACCUAGUCUCAUCUCUCCAUAUAUAGUUUCCAAAACUAUCUUUAUUUUCUGUUUAUUUAAUUUUAUGCAAUCAAAUCAAAUCUACAAACAAAAUAAUUUUUACAUCCUAAAUAUUUACUUUAUUGCUAAAUUGAGAUUAAUACAUUCUUCGUAGAUACGAACUUAUUUUAUUACUUCGAUGCAUGUUUAAUACACUUGCUAAAAGUCUAUCAUUUACCAAGAAUAGGAUAUAGUCUUGGUGAUUACAAGAAUGUUUCUUCGACAUUAAUAACUUCCUUGGCAGAUGUUAAAAUAUGGCGAUAUUUCCUUUAGAUCAAUCGAUCCUUCUUUUUGAAAUUAACCUGCACCGGCCCUUGUAUGUGUUUCAUGCUUCAUGUGCUUGAGCAUAUCACUCUAGUGUUUCCAGUUCCCACCAUUAAUGUCUAUCUUGUUUCCUAUUAUAUAACAACUACAAAAGAAAAAUUAUCUACAUCUAAAGGACUUUGCAUGUCAAGAAGAUACUCAAUCAUACACAAAAUUGUUAACGAAGUUUGAACAAUUUAAAAGAAAAUGUAACAAAAACGAAAAUGAAUUGAGGAAAACAUCUAGCUCGUAGGCCCACAGUUUUAAUUGCAUAUGUAUGUUACCCACGACGUAAACUUCUAUGGCUGAAGGAGUAUUUUUUUUACCAGAACUAUGGCUAAAGGUUAACGUGGGUAUGUGGCAAUUUUCUAGCAGAGCUUGUAUUAUUGCAUUAUCGUAGAACUACUAAUUUUUACUCCAAACACUCGGACAUUUUAUUGACGAGAAUUAAAAUUAGAGGUGGGAAGUUCCCGCGAGAAUGCAUAGUUUAGCUGGCAGGGACAAUACAUUAUUAUUAUAUAUAGAGAUUGAGGUUUGAAUCCCGAACACUCCACUUAUUCAUCUUAAAAAUGAAUUCUAACCAACUACAUCAAAACAACUCAAAUGACAAAGAAUGCAAGCCGUUUGCUAAUAAGUCUUAAAAUUUAUCUUUUUUUUUAAGUAAGUCUUAAAAUUUGAGCUACAACCAUUGAAAAUAAUUUAUAGCUAACAUUACUAUAUAGCGAUGAGGCUAAAUCGUUUCACUUUGAAACGAGCUUCAGCCUUAAGAUGAGAGCGGUUAGGGUUAUGUUUAUGUCAUUGAUCUUUUCCAGAUUUGAGAAACACCCCCGAGCCAAAUUUCAAGUAGGAAAAUCCAAAGUGUUAAAGUUGCUUUUGAAUAAAAUAGAUGAAAUCAUUUGGGCAUGGAGACUUAUAAAUUACCCAUAGUUCAACAAAAGCAACCUGAACCUCAAUGAGGUUACCUCAUUAUCCGUCACCGAUCAUCAACAUAGUUCUAUCAUGCUGAAUAUGCUAAGAUAAUUAUUAUUGGUCCCUUAGUAAAUGGAAACAAACUUUUUUUAAUCACCCUCUUCAUAAAUCUAAGAAUCCUUGGCUCUGUUCGGUAAAAAUAAGCUAUAAGCUAGCUGAUAGCUGAUAAGUUAGCUGAUAGCUGAUGAGUGAUAACUGAUAGCUGAUAGCUGAAAAGCUUGCUUAAUAAAAAUAAUGUGUUUGGUAAAAUUAGUUGUUGAAGUGGCUGAUAAAUAUAAAAUGACAUUUUUUUUUUUAAUAUACAUAUAAACACACAUUUUUUUGUAAUGUAUUUAUUUUUUAAUAUUUUUAAUUAUAGUUAAAUAUGUUUUUGGUCCCUAUAAAUAUUCAAAUUUUUGGUCUUAGUCUCCAUAAAAAAAUUCUUCGACCUUUAGUCCUAAAAAAAAAAUCACUGACAAUUUUGAUCUCUGCUUUAUGUAUCCCAAAAUUAAGAGAAAGGUGGAAACAAAAAGUGAGUUAGAAUAUAUAAAAUUUUACAACGUACAAAAGACUAGUUAUUUUUUCCUUUAAAAAAAAUAGGCUAGUUAUUUUUUUUGUGGUGUACGGCAGGUUAGUUAUAGCAAAAUAUAAAGCAUUUCCUUAAAAUAUAUAUAUAUAUAUAUAUAUAUAUAUAUAUAUAUAUAUAUAUAUAUAUAUAUAAAGUGCUCCUUAAAAAAAAAACUAUGUUGCAUUUUUUUUAAGGGAAAAAAUGGGGCGGUUAUAAAGAUGAACAUGAGUAGUUGUUUAAUUAAAAAAAUAAUUAAUUUAAAUUAAUAGGGUUAAAGUUGGAAGAAAAUAUAAAAAGCUACCAGCUAUAAGCUAAAAAGCUACUUGAAAUAGCUUUUCAAAAAACGCUAUAAGCUCAUGAAAAAAGCUUGUUACCAAACACGUCACGUUUUCAUCUAACGAGCUUAUAAGAUAAUCCAACAAACUAUAAGUUAACUUUUUUGUGUUACCAAACAUAACCCUUCUGUUUUUGGAGAGUAACAAUCCUAUUGUAACGUUUUUACUUGAGCGUUAAGAGAUGGAAGAACAGGGUAUUCAGAUCACCUUGGUUCCCCCUAACUUAUAGCGACACUGUCGGUAUCAGUAGUUGUCAUCAAAUUUGAUAAGCCAAGCCACCUUUAAUCCGCUCAAGUUAUUAAUCAUUCAAAGGCAUUUUCGGAAUUAAUCUUAAGCAGUUCAAGUUAGAAAUGAUUUGUUUAUUUAUGCGUUGGAGUCUAACAUGUCAAAUAUUAAAAUCACAACAUAUAAAUAAAAGCAUAAAUUUUAUUCUUAUCAAUGUUUAAUUUAAAUAUGUCUUCAAUGGCGUACCCUUCUCCCACAAAGACGCAUUUUUAGUAAUGAUGUUGAAAUCAACUUCUAUAGAUUGAGUAAACUCUGCAUUAUUUAAAAGAAAAUUUGAAACAAGAUUUUUUCAAAUUUAUGGAGUGUGCAUCACAUCCUCCUUCAGUAUUAGAGUCUUUCUGGAGAUGAACUUCAUCAUAUUAGUUUAAGUAACACAUGGAUCAAAUAAUCUUGAAACUUAAGUUGGAGUGCGCAAGCGGAUAAGGCUGGUUUUUUGUUUUGUUGCUUAAUAGCAGUUUUAGUCCCCUAACUUUUCUAAAGUUACGAUUUUGAUCCCUUAAGAAAAAGAACUACAAAACUGUCCCCUAAGUUUUGCAUAUGUGGCAGUUUUGACCCCCAAGGUCAAUUUUGACUCGGUCUACGCUCACGUGGCACCUUAAGUGAGGCGCCGCGUGUUAUUUUUCUUUACCAAAAAGUGCUAUUGGGGGGCCAAAACUGCCAGAGUUGCAAAACUUAGGGGCCGGUUUUGUAGUUUUUUUUUCUUAGGGGGCCAAUAUCGCAAAUUCGUGAAAGUUAGGGAGCGAAACUGCUAUUAAGCCUUUCUUUUAAUUGUUAGUUGGAUAAGAUUUAAACGAAACUUGUUCGUUAAGAAAAGCACUACCGGAUAAUGAUAAAAUUUAUUAAUUUAACAUUUUCGAAUGAUAAAAAAAACUUUGGCCUAAGCCCAACCCUAUGGCGUCACCGCAUAUGUGAUAUAUAUUUUCUUGAGCACUCUCGGUUCACAAAAAUGAGUAUCCAAGGCACACUCGUGAGAGUGAUUCUCCUUUUUUACUCAAAAAAAAAAAAAGAAAGAAAGAGUGAUUCUCCUUUUAAACAAACAUUAUUAAUGUGUUUCUUCUUAAAAAUUAAAAGUAAUGCACACAUUUCAAUACUUCCUCCGUCCUAAAUUAUAAGCAAAAAAAAAAAAAAUCACAUUUAUUAAGAAAACUAAAACAUAAGAAUUUGAAGUAUAAUUUUUUGUGUUUUCUUUAAAAAAAAAUUAUAGGAAGAUGUAAAAACAAUUUUCGUUGGCUAUUGGUUAUGGAAAAAGUGAAAGAGAGAGAAAAUUGAAUGUAAUUUGCGUUUAAUUUUAUGAGAAUAAACAAAAGUUUUUCUUGGGAAAAAGAUUUAAAAAAAAAGAUUAAAUAAGAUAAAAAUUUAUCUUUUUUGCUUAUAUUUUAGGACAAAGAAAAUGAGUUUUUUUGCUUAUAUUAUGAGACGGGGGGAAUAUAUGACACUUUUACCGUUUUCAAUUCACACCAUGCUAAUCCUAUCAAAUGUGAGACUUGUGUUUAUUUCAAUCUUCAUUCGUGAUUAAAUAGAAACUAACCAAUUAGAAUAUUGACAUUAGUAAGUACUCUAUGAAUACAAUAUUUAAAAGGAUACUGUUAACUUGUGCCCAUAGAGUAUAUGUUAAUAAACUUAAAAGAAGAAACUUUCUCUAAAAUUUUAUACAUUCAAUUAAUUAAAAAUUAAAAGUAAUGCACACAUUACAAUAAACUAUUUUUAUAUUUAAUUUUCCUAUUUAAAAAAGAUGCAAGAUGCACGUGAUAAGCACCAGACAAGUAUCAAUUUCAAAUCUCAAUAAUAAUCAAAGUGGAGGUGGUUUUCCUUAAAAAAAAAAAAAAAAGUAAGAGGAGGUGGUUGAAGCAAAAUUAACCCGGAUUUGCCCAGCUGUCAUUCCUAGGACGCACCUACAAUCUUAAAACCAAAAUGCUGGUCUAAUAUUAAGCAGUUAUAUUUAAAUGUUUUAAUUUUUUUACACUCAUUCAACACUUAAUUUUCAGAAUUUUUUUAUUUUUAUCUAAAAAAUUGUUUUUUGUUUAUAAGAGGGAAGAGAAAUAUAUAUUUUAAGAUAAAAGAAGAGGUAAAAGAAAAGUGUAAUUUCCUCAAAUUCUUAAUAUUAAUUUAAUAUUAAUAAUAGACACACGUGGUCACGUGCUAUCUACCAUGAUUGCUGAUUUUUUAUUUUUUUUUAGAGGAUGAUUGCUGAUCUUCUAGCUAUAAAUAGGUGAUUUAUUAGUUAUAGGAAUCAUCCACUUCCAUCGAAAUAUAAAAUCAGUGGCUUUUAAUAUCAAAGAUGAGACCUGCUCUUGCUUUAUUUCCCCUCUUGCUUUUCUUGGUAUGUUUUACUUUUCGUGGUUUCAAUUAGUAGAGUGCACUCUAAAUUCUAAUGCUUCAAAAUAAAAAAAACCUCUGAUAUUUUACAUUUAAUUGAACAAUUAUUUUCUUGUUGGAAAGUUUUUGUCUUUUCUUCCGGAUACUGAAAGUUAAUCGAUUAGUACUUCUUAGAGUAAUUUUAUGGAAAAUAUAAGUUAUUUCGUGUUUAUUUAUAUCCAUAAAAUCAUUUUUAAAUCUUCUUUAUCAUUUAUGAUUUCGUUAUAAUCACUGACGUCAAAAUUAUUGUCUGCCUUUCUGCUAUCGUAUUGCACUCAAUUGUUUGUUUAUUUCAUCUUAUUUUGUUAUUAAAUUUCAAUAAUAUAUCCCAAUCAGAUAAAGAUUUUAGGUUUAUUGAUGUGUUUAGCCCUUGCAAUUAGGCGGCAUUUAAAAAUUCGUCCCUGUAAUUGUUAAUCCUGGCAUUUUAACCCUGCAAUUGUUAAUCAUUUAAAAUUUCGUCCCUCUCCCCACUUAAUCACUGCCACGCCACAUGAAAUUCCAAAUUUACCCCUGGGUUUCCAAUUCUUUCUUCAAUAUUUUGUCCUCUUCUUAAGGGCAAAAUUGAAAUUUCAUGUGUGACAGUGAUUGCCACGUCAUCAAAUUAGUGACGUGGCAGUGAUUAAUUUGGUCCAAGGACCAAAUUUUAAACGAUUAACAAUUGCAGGGUUAAAAUGCCAGGAUUACCAAUUACAGGGACGAAUUUUUAAAUGCCGCCUAAUUGCAAGGGCUAAACACAUCAAUAAACCAAGAUUUUAUUCAUAUUGCAGUGGAAUUGCUUAUAUUAAAAUGAGAUGAGAUUUAGUUGAUUUUUUAAUUAAAAAUUUAAAUAGUAUUAUUCAAUACAAAAGAUAAACUUGUAAUUAAAAUAGUUUAACCGAAUGGUAUAAUUAGAAGAUAAAAACUCAGUCCAAAAUCUUGUACCCCCUUCACAUAGAGGUAUAGAUAGGUAUAUAUACCACAAUUAAAUAAAGAUUCAACGUGUCAUGUUUCUAUUAUAGUGAAAUUGUUCAUAUUAUACCGAGAUUUAACCAACUUUUCUAAUUAAAGGUUUAAAUAAUAUUUAAAAAAAAGUAAAAUUGUAAUAAGAAUAGUUAAUGAAGGGCACAACUGAAUGAUAAAAAGUCAUCCUAAAAUCAUAUUUCUUCUUUAUAUAUAUAUAUAUAUAUAUAUAUAUAUAUAUAUAUAUAUAUAUAUAUAUAUAUAUAUAUUGUACAACAGAAACUUGUGUUUAAAAUAAUUUUCAUUAUAAUAAGAUUUUACAUUUUUUUAAAUGUAAUUUAUUUCUUUGCUAAAAAAGUUAUUUAUUUCUCAUUAUUAACAAACUGCCAAGAUUGUGUGACACAAAUAAUAAAUAUUUUGGUCCCUUGACCAUUAGGUCCAUUGCACGGAAGAUGCCUUUUUUGAUUUACCAAAAAAUGAUUAGCAAGCUCGUUGGAAAUCCUUAAAUAUAAUUAUUUUAUAAAAAAAUCUCAAAUUAAAAAGUUCUUAUUUGAGCUAAUUAGCCAUACUUAUACGACUCACAUUGGUUAUUCACUUGAGUGAGUGUUUUUUUUCUGCAAAACAUUCAAGUGAGUGUUGGGGACCUGACCAAUAGCAAAAUAAAAAUAAAAAAACACAUAAAUAUUAUAUAAAUAUGACAUUGAUUAAUGUAAUCUUAUAAUUGAUAUUUACUAAUUCUAUUUAAAAGUUUAUUAUGUUCCAUUUAUUUCUCUUAAAAUCGCAAGCUCUCCCCCAAAAAACAUCUCCUCCACUUAAGAUCAAUCCACCUAAAUUUCUCUCCGAGAGUCAUUUUAAUCACUUUUACUUCUUAUUGAAUAGAAACCUAAAACAUCAUGAGAAAACAAAUUCUUAAAAGAAUAUCUCAAUUAAUGAUUAUUUUAAAAAUAUGUAGAUCAACCAUCUCUAAUAUUCUUGAAGUUAUUAUCGGAUAAAGAACAAUAGAUUCUGGUUGACAUGUUCCCGAUAAGAAGAUCUACUCUCAUCAGUUUGAGAAAAUGGGGCAUUCUUAAGGAACAUAAAACAAUUAUCAAUGAUUUUCCAAAUUUUAGGAUCAAUUUAUUAGGAUACAAGUUAAUAUGGUGGCUUUGCUGCUUAGAAAAGGCUUCCACAUUUUAUCUCAACUCCAACACUGCUUACGAUGUUCAAUAUGAUCUCCCUAUCCUUAAAAAAAAGAAUAUAAUAAAUAAUUAUGAGUGUUUUUUCCUUUUCGGUUAGGGAAUAAAUUUCUCUUUUAAACGAUUCUAUAUUAAAAAAGAGAGCUAUACAACUGCACAUAUAGACCAUUAUUUUUUCAUAUAUCUUAUUAAUUUCUUAUUUUGCGAUAAAGUUUGUAGCAAUUGUAGAAACAAGAAAAGAUUUGGGACAAUAUCGAAAACUAGUCAUGAAAGAUGAAGACAUGCGAAAAGAAAUUCAAGGGCUUCUUUACACCGAGACGAAAAAGAAUCUCAAGACUCCAAAGCAGUGUUUCAAAGGUUUUAAACAUGAUUGUGAAGAGCCAUUUGUAAUAGACACACAAGUCACCAUAGAAAAUGACAUCAUCCGUGCUAAGAGAAAGAAGGGAGUCACUAAAAAUUUUGAACCAAGACCAAAUGUUUCAAAAUAUGAAGAUAAUGACAUUAAUGCUGAGGAAAAGAAGAGAGUCGUCAAAGACUUUGAACCAAGACCUAAUGUUUCAGCUUAUGGAGCAAAUGAAAUUGAUGCUAAGGAUAAGAAGGGAGUUAUUGAUGAUUUUGAACCAAGACCCAAUGUUUCAGCUUAUGGAGACAAUGACGUUGAAGCUAAGAAAAAGAAGGGAAUCACUGAAGAUUUUGAACCAAGAUACAAUGUUUCAGCAUAUGGAGACAAUGGUGUAGAAGUUAAGGGAAAGAAGAAAGUCGUUAAAGAUUUCAAACCAAGACCAAAUGUUUCAGCUUAUGGAGACAAUGGUAUUGAUGUUAAGGAAAAUAAAGGAGCCAAUACGGAUUUUGAACCAAGACCAAAUUACGUUUCAGCAUAUGGAGACAAUAAUAUUGAUGUUACAGAAAAUAAAGGAGCCAAUAAAGAUUUUGAACCAAGACCCAAUGUUUCUGCUUAUGGAGAUAGUGAUAUUGAUGUUAAGGAAAAUAAAGGAGUCAGUAAAGAUUUUGAACCAAGAC